CCUGACCUCAGGUGAUCCUCCCACCUCGGCCUCCCAAAGUGCUGGGAUUACAGGCGUGAGCCACUGCACCUGGCCGUGUUUUGUAUUUCUUAUGAAAUAGAAAUUAGCCAAUAUGAACUAGGCUUUCUCUUGACAAGAUGAAAGUAUAUUUUGCAAAAGAAUGCCAUUCAGCAGGAUAAUUUGGCCUUACCAAUGGAGUUUCACUAUUCUGGUGACUUACUUACUUUAGUCUAACGGGCUCAGCAAAAAAUAAAGUAAGGUUGUUAUUUGAAACAAUUAUUGUAUGUAUACAGUGCAGAUUCCAAUGAUAUCUCUCAGAGGUCUACACAUUUAACAAUAAAAUUCUUUCUCCAACUUUGUUUUUUGGCAUGAGAGGAGUAGUGGUCAUUUUUGUAGGUAAAGGAGACACAGAGAGCUCCCUACAGAAGGAAGGAAAGUUAAACAGACUGACUGAGGACUGUACUUUAUUAGUUGGAGUGAAUUCCGGUAUGCAUUGGCACAUCCAUUUCUGUGCCCACAUGGUAAUGCCUCUUCGUGAGGCAGAGUGCAAAACCACUGGGAAAAUUAAGAUUCACACCCAGAACUGAAGUUCAUACAGGGGAGAAGGAAACAGACAUGCGGUAGGCAGCCUAGAUGUGAGCCCUAGCAAGAGACCACUGAUGGAUUCCCCAAAGUGACUGCCUAAAUAUAGUGUGUUUACUACAAAGCUUGUCACAGACAGCUAAAAUGCAAAUACAAAUGAACUUUGAUGGACUUCCUGGCAAGACUCCCAGCCCUUCAAGCAAAUUCCUGAGUGAGGAAGCUGGUUCUGAAACAUGCCUGGGAACUGCAUACAUGUGAACUUCCUGAGGCCUCUUCUCUUUAGCAUUUAACAGGUAGCUGGAUUUUAAACAUUUGUCAGGCUGCUUUUAUUCUGUCUACCUACCUCUCAAUUAUCUACCUAUCUACCUAUCCAUCUAUCUAUCUUUGCAUUAUCAGACCAAUUCAUUAUUCUUAACAAUGGUUAAGAACAUCAGUGUCUGUUCACUUUAUGAACUGAGACACCAAGACAAUAAGGAAUCUGUCUUAAAACAAAGAAAAUGUGCAGUUAAACGACAGUUAGAAUUCAGGUUUCCCAAACUGCAGUUCUUUCUUUAGCCCACUGGUGGGCUACCUCCUAUUUAUAUUUUCUUCAUAAAUUCUUUUUUGCAUACAUGUAAAUAUCUAUGCAGGAGAUCACUGAGGGACCAUAGCUUCUCUUCAUUCACCUGGCAUGUGACCUGAGGCAGGUCAGUUGGACACCCUAGGCCAGCUUUUCUUGAGUGGAGGAGACGGUGCUGGCCUUGAUGUCAUUUCUGUUCUGACCUCUCGUGGUGGGUGGGGGUGAUGGGAAUACACAGGAAUUUGACAAACCCAAGCCCAACAUUCUUCUGACCCACAUGGGAUUACAAAACAAUGCGGAAAAACUACCAGUAAAUGCCUGCCUAUUAUUUGGGGGCAUUGUGCCAUCCAAAUAAAGUCAAGAGGUUAAAUGAUGUGAGGCUACCAGAGCAUCACAUCAUCUGAGAACAUCAUGUCUGUUUGGUUUGGGCUCAAUCCCAGGUUAGGAGAAUCUAAACCACGGUCUAUACUUAGUUUAAAUUAGCCAGGGCAAAGCAUCUGUAUCAGCAUUAAUAUAAACCCAACUUCAAUGUCUCAGGGCUUAUGGAAAAUAUUUGCAUUUUUCUUUCCUCAAGAGACUGCCUUAUUUCAUAUAUGUAUGUGUGCGUAUGUGUGUUUAUAUAUAAUUUUAUAUGUAUAUCUGUGUACGUAUAUAUACACGUAUAUGUGUAAAUAUAUAUGUAUAUACACAUAUACAUGUAUAUGUAUAUGCAUACAUAUAUAUAUGGGCAAAGACUUAAUAUACUAUCCACAGGCUAUUCAGAUUAUUCAAGAGGCCCUCCGUUGAAGAAGCAAACAGACAAACAAAACGGUUUCAUACACAGGCAGGCAUUUGGCUGAGUAGGUCGGCAGGAUAUGGAAACUUACUUUGAGGUGUUUUUGGAUUCUCACCUAGAAUUCUACUACUUAAUGGCUGUGUGGCUUCUUUGCAGGCUGUAUACUGAAUUCAUAAAGGAUGUUCUGAGAGUAAAUUCAAAGAAUUCUGAUGUUUUGAAAUUUGUUGUGACUUGGUUAACUAUGGUGAAAUGUUACAUUCAUGUUACAUUAUGGCUUUUGUUUAUACGGGUCUGAUUAUGGGAUAACUUAAUAAAGUUUUAAAAAAUUCUAUGUUUUUCAAAAAUUCUGUGUUUGUCUUAUGUGAAGAAUUUGUUUCAACUAUUCUUCAAAAACCAGAAAAGGAGCCACCGUAUACUUUACUUUUCAUAUAAAGAUUACUCAAUAUAUUUUAAAAUGGGUGUUCCAGAAUUAGACUUCCAGAUUCCUUGAAUUGAGAGUGUGGAAAAGGAUAGGCAGCUCCUGUAAUAGGAGACAUUCUUUUAAAAGCCUGGAAUGCUGAAACCCUCUUAGACUGAAAACAUGUCAGGACAUGCCUUUUUGGGAUACUGUCAAAUGGUUUAGGCUCAGAAUUCCACAUUCCGUACUUUUGAAGUUGUUUUCUGUUGGCAAAUGACCUCUUGAUUAUUUUCAUGUGGUGAGUAUUCAGGCCAACCUUUUUGGUUCCAAGUGAUUUAAACACACACACACACACACACACACACACACACACACACACACACACACACACACACAUAAAAACAAACCACUCUGAAGUGUCCAUAUUUUAGCAUAAAGUUAGGAAUUAUGCGAGUGCUGGGUGUAUCACGGUCAAUUCGGUGAGCCUCAUCACAGUUUAUAGCCAAAGUCAGAGGCUUCAAAAUCAGACACACAUUGACCUGGAAUGCUUUAUUCUCCAGUGCUCAUUCUUGAUUCUCAAAAGUAUCGCUACUGUGAAAAAAUUGUCACCAUUAGGGAGCUGUCAUUUCCCUGGUAAAAUUAAACAGCAAUUUCAUUCACCUCUGCUCCUUUUUGGAUGAAGGCUGGCAAUGGUUUAAGGAACAAAUAAAUGAAAGAAUAAAUGAGUGGAGUUCCCUCCUCCUGACUCAGAAAGGUGCUAGUUCCCCUCACGCAGGAGAUACAACUUCGAUGCAAGCCAGUUCUCCCACUACAUAGAGCCCUUCUGUUUUUAGGAAGUUCUGAUUCAUGGAUUGGAGAAUUGAACUAAAUUAGUAUACUGUACAGCAUGGGCCUGGUUAAAUUAAACAUAAAUGCUCUGCCCCCUGCCACCCACCUCACUGUGACCACUGAGAGUUCAUUUAACAGGCGCCACUAUCUGUGAGACCCAAAGGUAGCUGACUUCAAACCCUGUCUACAUUUGCCUUAUUAUAGACCAUGUGUUAGUAGAUGUUGUAAUAUUUUUUAUGAACCAGUAGGAUUCUCAGAGUGCUUCAAAACAGAGAGGCAUGAUAUUGGGUGAUGAUUUUUUUUUAAGUCUCGUCUCGAUUUAAUUUUGUGAGAAUUUUUUAAAAUUGUCUGUUUUAUUGAGAAAUUGCUCAGAGAUCAUAUACAAUGAGAAACUCGGCUAGAAGAAGAUAAACAAAACAAGUAUAACAGAGACAACGUUCUUUUAAAACAUUUCAUUUUGCAGACCAAUAAUAAAACUUGUAAAUCUUUUAAAAAUACUUUUCUUAUGGUGUAUAAAUUAUGAUAUUUUACUUGAAGCUAAUAAAGCCACCAUAGAGAAGAAAGUUAAUUUUUUUUCUUUAAGCUUUCCAUAGGUGGUAUAAUUUAAAUAAUUCUGUGGUACAGUUUCAACACCUCAGAUUGAGCACUUUUGUUUACGAAGUAAGAACAGUAAUCCUCACGUAAAAGGGUGGUAUUGCUACCCUAGACAGCAGAUGGUAUUAUUAAAUACACAGGCAAAGUCUAAGGUCAUAAGGAACUAACAAUUAACCAGAAAUACGAUCUGUCACAGUCGUUUAAUGGGUAACUUACCAGAUAUAUACCACUUGUAUUCUUCUGAGUGGUGGGAGGUAAAUAGUCAAGCUUCAGAGCAGUUGCACAAUCGUUUAGAAAUAUUGUAAUUAUAUUCUUAUUUAAGCAUUUAGGGAAACCAACAAGCCAGAAAGAAAGUGAAAAUCAGUGUGAUUUCCUCAUAAUACUGGGUCCUGUUAAUCUACUUUGAAAAAUACUUUACCAAUUCAGACAGCACAAUUUCAUAGCUAUCCCUGAAUCUAACUGGUCUCCCCAAACGAGUAAUGUCAAAAUUUUGAAUUUUUUUACUGCUAGUCUCAGUUGUUCUAAGAUCUCUUUACAUUAUCAUAGGUAUAAUUUUUGCCCCCGAAGUUUUCGUCAUGUGAAGGUAAAAAAUUGGAGCAUACACAACAGCAAAUGGAAGCAGGGUGGCAGGAGACAGCUGGGAAACUGUAGUGGGGAGGAGAGGCAGUCAGCUGGUGGGGUGGACCGUAGGAGGAGGAUGGUCUCACCAGUAAGGAAUGGGUGGCACUAUUAAAAUCUGGAUGUGGGCUCAAUUUCUAUUGUAAAUCAAAUAUAAAUCUAUCACUAAAAUAGGAGCUGGAUACACAGUGCCCAAGUCCUCGUGAGAGUUUCCCAAGAAGGGUUUACCAUGGAGAAUGUGUCAUCAGUUCCUUUUCAGUUAGGGCUUUUGAGCAUGAGGAACUGAAUUCUAAAUUCACCCAAAGGAAAAAUGGCCAACAGGGCAGCAACUAAGCCUGAAUCACAAAGAACAAACUGCUUGGUUAGAAUUUGGAAGAGUGGCUGGGUGCAGUAGUAAUAUAAUCCCAGCACUCUGGAAGGCUGAGGUGGGAGGAUCACUGGAGGCCAGGAGUUUGAGACCAGCCUGGGCAACAUAGCAAGACCCCCAUCUCUACAAAAAAAAAAUACAAAAAUUAAGACCAGGUAGAGUGGCUUACACCUGCAAUCCCAGCACUUUGGGAGGCUGGGGUCUCUACAAAAGAACUAAAAAUUAACCAGAUGUGGUAGUGCAUACCUGUAGUCCCAGCUACUAGGCAGGCUGAGGCAGGCGGAUUGCUUGAGCCCAGGAGGUUGAUGCUACAGUGAUCCAUGAACCAUGAUCACGCCACUGCACUCCAGCCUGGGGAAGAGAGCGAGACCCAAUCUCUAAAAAAAAAAGUUUGGAAGAGUGAAACUUGUCCCAUAGGCAAAUAACUACGAAGCAUACCCAAGAGUCAUGACUCUAGCCAUUGUGUCAACCAAUUGUAAAAACAGCAUCUGGAAAAGCAAAAACAUCCUCAGUGCCCCAGGUGAAUAGAAGAUGAACAAUGAAAAGCAAGGUUCAGAGGUCACUGGCUGAUCAGGGUAAAAAAGUGGGUAGAUUCCAAUCUUUGGACAAAAACUAUUCUUAAAAGACAAAAAGUUAUUCAAUUUCUUUGCUGAUGGAUUUGGUGAGGAUGUCUGAUUCCUAGAAAUGCAUACUAAUAAGGACUUUUUUCUUAUACAGUUUCCUGCAUUUAUAUAUGUUUAUUUAAAUUUAUCUAAAUUUAAAUUGAGUAAGGCAGGCAACAGUAUCUCAGGGCACAGACUCAUAACUGGAGAACUUCAUCCACAAGCUUAGCUAGCUUGAUUUUCUGUGUGGCCAGGACGCCUGCUGAAAUUUCCAGCAGUCCUCAGAAAAGCUGAUGAGAUACCCUUGGGCUGAAUGAGUAAGAACUUUCUGGAGAGUGGAAGACUGGUGAAAGUCCAGCUGGAAAAACAUAUGGCAGCAGAGGCGGAAAGAGUGCUUUAUGACCGGGAGCUUUAUAAAAAAAAAUGUCUGAAGGCUCAAAGCAGCCGUUACAACCUAAGAUCUUACUAAGCAUGAUGGAUGUUCUUACUUCUAGGAUUGUCUCCAAUUUACCUGGACCACAGCCAGCACUGUAUCCUCAGGCACCCCACGGGACAGUGCAUACAGAAGAACAGCAUCGCACCACAUCCUAUCACCAAGGCCAGGAUUCUGUGCCUCCGCCCCCCUCCCCACCUCCUUGAAAUGGGGGAAGUGGGGGGAAGAGUCAAUUCUUCUUGGAGCACAUGAGAUGGUAGCUUGCUGUGUUGUCCUGAAAGAAAACAAAGUUUGUAAAUCACUUUCCAGACUCUGCUAAAGCAGGCACUUCUAAAACCAGCCAGUUCUGCUGCUGCUGCUCAUGGCCAGACUUCAGGAUCCUUAGGAACAACCUCUGCUACUUAGCAGUCCUCCACGUCCACCACUCCAUGGAAGUAGCUGUCAUCAGAGCUGCCAAUGACUUCCCUGUGACCAUCUCCAAGAGCUUAAUGCAGAUAAGUAACAAGAUCUUGGAAGACAAGUGUUGAAGAUGAAAGAGGCACAAGGUAGAAGAAACCUGGGUCCUUAGAUCCUUGCUUGGAGGAAAACCACCUGCCAAUCCAGAAUAUCAUUUUGGACUUCAUUUCAUAUGAGGUAUUGUGUUACCAGUGAGCAGGGUCUAUGAUGAAUGUGUCUUUAGAACACCCAAUGAAGUGCCACUUGCCACAAGAAGCUAAAUCACAAUCUGAUGGCAAGGAAAGGCAACAUUCUUCCUACAGUUUUGUGCAUAAACCUUCCUGCCUCUCUGCUGGGGACCACCUAUGGGGAAAGGUAAACUUCUCUCUCAUGGCUCUCCUUUCCCAGGAAAACUUUAGCUCCUGUUGAGACCAACACUUUCCCUGGAGAAUGUGGAGUGAAGGGGUUAGGCCCAUCACAAUUUUCCAUUCAUGAUGUUGAAGGCAUUCAAGCAAGGCAUCACAUAGAAUCAAUAGAAACAGAAACAGCCCCACAUGUGAAGAAGGAGCCGUGCUGGAAUGAACAAGGGCUGCAGUAUGGGUGAGUUACACGGUACAGAGCACAGGGGCUGACUGCUUUGUGCUCUUCCAGGUGGGAUCAUUACUUGCCAGCCUUCCAGCUGAUGCCAGUGGCAACAGCACGACAGGCUGAACUGGAUUCUUUAUGACUAUGUACUCAUUAGGGGGAAAAAGCACUUCCAAUGCAAAUGAUUGAAAUGGAAACAAGAUGUGCACUCUGCUGCCUAAAUGAAAGCUCUACCAGGUAGGCCAUUCAAACUCAAUUAAGAGUAGCAAAACAGGAUCUAUCAGGACAGUGGCUGCAACCUCUGUCACAGAGAAUGGACAGUGAGCGGUCCAAAUGGAUUGAGGGGCAUGAAUGGCACCUGACUUACAGCAGGAGCUCAGCACUUUUGCUCUCUUUGCCGCUUCACUGGAACAAGGAGAAAAAGACAUUAGGAUGAAGGAUAAUGUGUGAUACACACAUAAAGAUGAAAGCAAGAGGGACACAUGCAAUGUCACUUAUUGGAAGGACCACUUUAGGCUGCUCUGUCCUCUCUCCCCUGAAAACACGUUCCACAUUGUUUUAACCAUCUGUGGCCCACUCUGAAGCUCAAGGAACCCUGGCCUUUCUGCUUAAUUGUGAGCACAGCCAUAUGAAACUGCAAUCUGGCAGCUGAAGGGGAAAGUAUUUUUACUGUCUCUGCUGAGAAAGGGUUUGGAUGAAUCGAAUCACCUGUUAUGUGUGGAAUUGUACCCUCUAGAAAGCUCUGUUGAAGACCCAAACCACGGUACCUGUGAAUGUGACCUUAUUUGAAAAUAUGGUCUUGUAGAUGUAAUCAAGCAAAGAUGAGGUGAUACUGAAUUAGGGUGGGCCUCCACCAACAUGACUGGUGUCCUUAUGAGAAGCAAGGAAGAGACAUAAGGAGAACAUGGUGUGACAAUUGAGACAGAGAUUGGAGUGAUGCAUCUACAAGCCAAAAAAUGUCAAGGGCCGUGAGCUGCACCAGAAGCUAAGAGAAGGGCAUGGGACUGACCCUCCCCUAGACCCAUCAGAAAGAGUCUGACCCUGGCGACACCUUGAUUUUGUACUUCUAGACUCCAGAAUUAUGAGAAUAAAUUUAUGUUGCUUUAAGCCACUCAGUUUGUGGUAAUUCGUUAUGACAGUUCUAAGAAACUAAUCCACCCUGCUAAAGAGUAAAUGUCUGAUGCAAAACUCACUACAUGGAUGAAAAGGCUGAGAUAUUCCGAAGAGUCAUAAUGAACUGUGCCGUCAUCUACAAAGGAAGUGCAGCAGUGCAACAGCUCAAGAUAGAUCCUGGAGAUGUGGCAGGACAGACGUGCCCACCAGACUAGGAGCACUUUCAGGACAGCGUCAUGCCUUGUUCUCCUCCACAUCCCUCCGUCUGUGCCUGAAAACCAGAAAUGCUCAAUUAAAUGUUGAAAAUAAAUUCAUAGGAAAAC